rnacentral:rRNA from 1 species
GACGAACGCUGGCGGCGUGCUUAACACAUGCAAGUCGAACGGAAAGGCCCUGCUUUUGUGGGGUGCUCGAGUGGCGAACGGGUGAGUAACACGUGAGUAACCUGCCCUUGACUUUGGGAUAACUUCAGGAAACUGGGGCUAAUACCGGAUAGGAGCUCCUGCUGCAUGGUGGGGGUUGGAAAGUUUCGGCGGUUGGGGAUGGACUCGCGGCUUAUCAGCUUGUUGGUGGGGUAGUGGCUUACCAAGGCUUUGACGGGUAGCCGGCCUGAGAGGGUGACCGGCCACAUUGGGACUGAGAUACGGCCCAGACUCCUACGGGAGGCAGCAGUGGGGAAUAUUGCACAAUGGGCGGAAGCCAGAUGCUGCAACGCCGCGUGCGGGAUGACGGCCUUCGGGUUGUAAACCGCUUUCGCCUGUGACGAAGCGUGAGUGACGGUAAUGGGUAAAGAAGCACCGGCUAACUACGUG